CACACACUCUCUCUCUCUCUCUCUGUUUCUUUGUUUCCUCUCUUAGCCGAACCCAAAACCUCUUGGGUUUUGGGGUGACCGGAGGGUGGGUCGGCUACCAGGCAGCCUGAUCGGCCGACAAUGGCAGCGCGACGGUGCCCAGAGGCAAAUCCGACCGACGAUGAUCGGGUAUCCGAGAAGAAAAGAGGAAAAAGGGCAUUGCCCUUUAAGCCAUGGUAGCCACCCGUGGACCGGAAGGAAAAGGAGGAGAAGGGAUCUUAUCGGAGACGGUGGCGGCGGUAUCUCGCUCAAAAUUCCUUCGGAACAGGGCUCCAGAAAUCAUAUGCAUUUCACUUUGCGAGAUGAUUUGAACUAGGUUGCGAAUGGAAGAGCAGUUAAUUGUCGUCCAUUAACCCUGGCAAUUGCUUGAAGUAUUUAAAAUAACUGAGCAACAUUUACAACCAUCCUUUCAUUAGUGCCACAGGAGAUGAUGGCGGCCGGGCCGAAGGGGUACAAAUAAUACUGAACAAGGAAAUCAAACAUGUGCUUGUGAAACUCAUGUCCACACAGGUAGACCAUACAAGUGCACAUAUUUGGAAUGUAAAGCAGAAUAUAAAUGCGUUUAAACAACUAUAGAAAUCUAAUAUAGGACAUCUGGAUCAUCUGGGAAGUCUUUCUCUGUUAAAAAGGACGCCUAAUCCCUGCUGAAUUCAGGAGGCAAUUCGUAGGGCACACCCAAACGAGCUGCUACGCUCAUCAGCCAGGCACCAAGAUUUGUACGGGAAGAAGAGUCCAUGCACGGCUCCGAUUCGGGAAGCGGUCGGUUUGUUGCGUCAGAAUUGCUGCUGGCCUGAUUGAUCUCGUUCCUUCGGUUUCCUGCUGUCCUACGGAUCAUACUAAUGGCUUUCUGCACUCGUAGGCAGAAAAGAAAAGAAGGGGACAAAAAAGAAAAGAGAAAAUACCAUCAGUCAUAGAUUAUAGUUUUGCGUAGGUAGAGCUUUAUAGAUUUGGUUCAUGUAGUAGGGCAUUUAGCUUCGUAACUUUGAUUCAUUUGUACUUACUGCAGCAUCAUGGCCUGUAUCAGGAACAAGAGUUAACUCUGUCAUAACCCAUUUUGUCGAGUUGGAGUUCUUAUGUGUUCCUAAAUAGAAUCUUAAAUUUCGCA